UAUCCGGCGUGGGCGUAGGAUAUUUGAGAGGAGCUGCCCUUAGUACGAGAGGACCGGGGUGGACUGGCCGCUGGUGUAUCUGUUGCACUGCCAAGUGCAUGGCAGAGUAGCCAAGCCGGGACGGGAUAAACGCUGAAGGCAUCUAAGCGUGAAGCCCCCCUCAAGAUGAGAUAUCCCAACGCAAGUUGUAAGACCCCUUGAAGACGACGAGGUAGAUAGGACAGAGGUGGAAGUGCAGUAAUGUAUGGAGCUGACUGUUACUAAUCGGUCGAGGGCAUAACCAA
rnacentral:ncRNA from 1 species